UACGUAGGGUGCAAGCGUUAAUCGGAAUUACUGGGCGUAAAGCGUGCGCAGGCGGUGAGCUUUGUCCGAUGUGAAAGCCCCGGGCUUAACCUGGGAAUGGCAUUGGAAACUGGCUCGCUGGAGUGUGGCAGAGGGGGGUGGAAUUCCGCGUGUAGCAGUGAAAUGCGUAGAGAUGCGGAGGAACACCGAUGGCGAAGGCAGCCCCCUGGGCUAACACUGACGCUCAGGCACGAAAGCGUGGGGAGCAAACAGG
rnacentral:rRNA from 1 species